GAAAUAUUAACUUCAAACUUUAACACAUAUUUCAUUUUCUAUGUCCCAAAAAACCAAAUCUUCAGGACCAGGUUGUCUGUCCUCCUUUCUCCUCUGACCCCAUGACGUCUGUGGCGGUGGACAGGCCGCCGGAUUCCAUGUAAGUCACCCAAAACAAGAGUGCAACGGAAGAGGGCAAGGAGAAGGAGAGGUUUUCUUUCUCAACGGCUACAAGCUAAUUAACAGGCAAACUAAGGCUCCGGGAGCAGCGAGGCAAGAGUAUCCUCAUCCCGGUCAAGGUUGCCAGUGAUGUUGGAGGCUGCUUCUCACUCUCGCCUGUCCUUUCGGGUGCCCGACCCGAGUGCCCCGGGGCCUGGAUGCUGCUAACCCAAACCCUAACCCUAGCCCUAAAAGUGACCCUGCCCGUGACCCAGACCCUGACCCAAACCCUAACUCUGACCCCGACCCUAACCAUAACCCUGACCCUGAACGUGACCCUAACCCUAAACAAAUCAGCCUGCCUGGUUAAUCCUGCCAGUAGCAUUAAACUACUGCUGUGUGCUAUGCGCUGUUUAGCGCGUACUAUGUAGGCUUCUUGCCUCUCUGCUUUGUCAAGAGCACCCAGUAUUAUGACAUGCGAUGGCCCUGUGAACAGGGCAAUCAAAGGCGAGCGGCUCUCCCAGUUCAAUCGCUAACUCCAUCAACAGCAGCCAGGACCUCAUCCCGCCUCUGCUGGUGGAGCCCUCGCUGUCCUGCUCCCACGCCAUCCCCUUACCACCCCUGCUGCCAUCUGACGCCCCACUCACCGAGCGAGAGCCAGUGUGACGAGGAGGAGCCCCUGCCGCGCCUGACCAGCCUUGCGCAAGGGUUGAAGACUGAGCUCUGUGUGUGGCUGCCGUGCACAGCAGACGACAUAGUCAACCCCGCCCCUCCCGCUUUUCAGACUUGAAUCA